GGGCAGGUAGCGCAGAGGCCGUCGCGCCGAGCUGUCACCUCGGAGAACGCUGGUUCGACUCCAGCCCUGCCCG
rnacentral:tRNA from 1 species